AUUCUCGCCAUGCUCUUUUCUCUUCGAUCAAAUAUUGGUCCUUCCUGUAACACCAAUCUAUUGCUGCAAGACUCUGAUUUGAUACUGAUGUGGCCGAGGUUGGAUAUUGUUCAGAGACUGGCAUGCCAAAGAAAGAACAUACAAGAGAAGUCCACUCUCGUCGGAUUUCUCUGAUGGAGAAUCUUCUGAUGCUUAAGUCAGUUAAAGUUUGAAAAUAGUAGAGAAAAAAGAGUGUGAAAUGGAGAGGGAGUGAGAGCACACGGAUAUUCUCUAGAGUUGAGCUCACUUGAGGGUCCCCUUGUUACCUCUUUUUAUAUG
rnacentral:lncRNA from 1 species